ensembl:lncRNA
GUGUCACAUUUUAUUACAAAGUAUCAAAGCACUGUCACUCUUUGUUACUUGGUAUAACUACACACUGCACUUUAUGGUGUAGUUUUUGUGCCUAGUUUUGUGCCUAGAAGGUUCUAGAAUGUGCCUAGUUUGCCUAGUUUUGUGUACUGUUUGUGAUUUAUGCUUGUUUACGUUAUGUGUGGGGUCGAUACCAGAGAGUCCCCCUUUUAAAUAAAAGAGAAUAUUGUUGUAUAGAAAAGCCACCAUCUCCUGCACCCUUCUUCCUAACUUCACCAGCCAGUCCAGUCGCCACAUCCCAAAAACGUGGGGUGGUCGCUUCGGUCCCUCACACGGAGGUAGGAAACAUGAAGUAUAAGACACUGUACUUUACGGUGUAGUUACGGAGGUAGGAAACAUGAAGUAUAACACACUGUACUUUACGGUGUAGUUACGGAGGUAGGAAACAUGAAGUAUAAGACACUGUACUUUACGGUGUAGUUACGGAGGUAGGAAUCAUAAAGUGUGAGUUUUACCGUCUGGGUUUCCCUCUCAGUCAUAGCCCUCAAAGCUCAGACUCGUCUCCAGGAAGAUGUCUAAUUCAGGCUGAUCUUUCAUUUAGCUCGCAUCCGGUCGUUAAUCAUUAAUCAAUCAUUAUAUUGCUUUAUUGAUUAUACUUCAGUGCCAGUAGCAGACAAUGAAGAGGAAGGCUUUUCUUUGGGGACUGUCAAUACUACUAGUGUUACCACUAUAACUGGGACUGAUGCUCAUAAUAAUAAUAAUAAUAAAAAUAAUGAUAAUAAUAACAUAAUCAAUACUACCACUAUUACUGGGACAGCUACUCAUAAUAAUAAUAAUGAUAGUAUCUCUAUAGUGUCUCUUUACA